AUAAUGUUAGUGGCCCUGUGGAGCGCUGCUACGGCGGCGGACUGGGGCCUGAAACCUCAUCAACGGCUACGGUAACCUAACGAAACCCAAACAAACACUAUAGGUUUUGACUCAGAAAAUUCAUAUAUGCUUUCUUACUAAUGAGAUUUUCUAUACAACAAAGUGGGGUCAUUCUUUGUUGAUUUAUACCAUAAAGUGUUGGCUAUCAUGUGUUUGAAGAUACCCUAAACUUAACCUAAGAAAACCCAAACAGCUACUAUAGGUCUUGACCCAGAAAAUUCAUAUAUAUGCUUCCUUAUUAAUGAAACUUUCUGUACAACAAAGUGAGGUUAUUCUUUGUUGACUUAUACCAUAAGGUGCUGGCUAUCGAGCGUGUGAAGACAUUCUAAAUUUAAUAUAACCCGAUAGUUACUUAAGGUCUUGACUCAGAAAAUUCAUAUAUGCUUCCUUAUUAAUGAGACUUUCUAUACAACAAAGUAAGGUCAUUCUCUGUUGAUUUAUACCAUAAGGUGCUGGCUAUUGUGUUUGAAGAUACCCUAAACUUAAACUUAUGAAACCCAAACAGUUAAUAUAGGUCUUGAAUCAGAAAAUUCACAUAUGCUUCCUAAUUGAUGUGACUUUCUAUACAACAGAGUGAGGUCAUUCACUGUUGAUUUAUACCAUAAGGUGCUGGCUAUCGUGUUUGAAGAUACCCUAAACUUAAUCUAACAUAACCCGAUACAAUUACUACUAAAGGUCUUGACUCAGAAAAUUCACAUACGCUUCCUUAUUAAUGUGACUUUCUAUACAACAAAGUGAGGUCAUUCUCUGUUGAUUUAUACCAUAAGGUGCUGGCUAUCGUGUUUGAAGAUACCGUAAACUUAAUCUAACAUAACCCGAUACAAUUACUACUAAAGGUCUUGACUCAGAAAAUUCACAUACGCUUCCUUAUUAAUGAGACUUUCUAUACAACAAAGUGAGGUCAUUCUCUGUUGAUUUAUACCAUAAGGUGCUGGCUAUCGUGUUUGAAGAUGCCGUAAACUCAAUCUAACAUAACCCGAUACAAUUGCUACUAAUGGUCUUGACUCAAAAAUUCACAUACGCUUCCUUAUUAAUGUGACUUUCUAUACAACAAAGUCAGGUCAUUCUCUGUUGAUUUAUACCAUAAGGUGCUGGCUAUCGUGUUUGAAGAUACCUUAAACUUAAUCUAACAUAACCCGAUACAAUUGCUACUAAAGGUCUUGACUCAGAAAAUUCACAUACACUUCCUUAUUAAUGAGACUUUCUAUACAACAAAGUGAGGUCAUUCUCUGUUGAUUUAUACCAUAAGGUGCUGGCUAUUGUGUUUGAAGAUACCGUAAACUUAAUCUAACAUAACCCGAUACAAUUACUACUAAAGGUCUUGACUCAGAAAAUUCACAUACGCUUCCUUAUUAGUGUGACUUUCUAUACAACAAAGUGAGGUCAUUCUCUGUUGAUUUAUACCAUAAGGUGCUGGCUAUUGUGUUUGAAGAUACCCUAAACUCAAUCUAACAUAACCCGAUACAAUUACUACUAAAGGUCUUGACUCAGAAAAUUCACAUUCGCUUCCUUAUUAAUGAGACUUUCUAUACAACAAAGUGAGGUCAUUCUCUGUUGAUUUAUACCAUAAGGUGCUGGCUAUCGUGUUUGAAGAUACCCUAAACUCAAUCUAACAUAACCCGAUACAAUUGCUACUAAAGGUCUUGACUCAAAAAUUCACAUACGCUUCCUUAUUAAUGUGACUUUCUAUCCA